CCAUCUCUCACAGUGAGCAGUGUAUCACUUGGCCCAGACUCAUGGUGGUGAAUAAUACAUCAGGAGACCAGAGAGAAGGAUGGAGAGAUGGAGAAAGAUAUGACAAAAAGUGCUUGGAUUGAAGGAAAGGAAGAAGGACGAGUUAGAAAGGAAGAACAAUGGAUGGAUAGAAACACCAGAGGGCCUGGUGGUUUCUACGGUGAUGAGGGAGACGGUUGCCAUGGGAACAUGACAAGCAGCAGCCGCCCGGUGCUUUGGGGAGUGAUUGGUGGCAGCUCCUCCAGUCCUGAACUCUUGUCCUUUUUACUGUGACUCUCCCUCACCGCACAGACACGUCAGAUGAGCAGAGAGGGCGAUGGAGAAAUGAGACGGAGGAAUGAAAUUCUAGACAAAGAGCAGGUUCCUGUCAUUUCCAUUGCGGUGCAGAACCCUAGAAUCAUUUAAUUCCAUCCCUUGAAAAUAGUCUUUGUUAAAGCAAGAGCAUAAGAGGA